GGCCUCUUGGUGCUUACCACAGUCUGCACUACACUGACUAUAUAGAAAGAGGCAAAGUAAACCUACCCCAUAUACACCUCAGCCCAGGCCCUGUGCCUGGUCUGCAUUGUGAAUGGGGAGUUAUGG
rnacentral:snoRNA from 1 species